UCUAAGUAUAAACGACUCGAUCGUGAAACCGCGAAUGGCUCAUUAUAACAGCUAUAAUUUACUUGAUCUUGACUCAAUCCUACUUGGAUAACUGUGGUAAUUCUAGAGCUAAUACAUGCAUUAAAGCUCUGACCUCGCGGGAAGAGUGCAUUUAUUAGGACAAAACCAAGCGGCUUCGGCCGUCUCAACUGGUUGACUCAUAGUAACUGAGCUGAUCGCACGGUCUUGCACCGGCGACGUGUCUUUCAAGUAUCUGCCGUAUCAACUUUCGAUGGUAGUGUAUCUGACUACCAUGGUGAUCACGCGUAACGGAGAAUAAGGGUUCGGCUCCGGAGAGUUCGCCUGAGAAAUCGCGAACACAUCUAAGGAAGGCAGCAGGCGCGAAAAUUACCCACUCUCAGCACGAGGAGGUAGUGACGAAAAAUAACGAGACCAUUCUCUCAUGAGGCUGGUCAUCGGAAUGGGUACAAUUUAAACCCUUUAACGAGUAUCUAUGAGAGGGCAAGUCUGGUGCCAG
rnacentral:rRNA from 1 species